UCGCUGGUGGUCCAGUGGUUCAGACUCUGCACUUCCACUGCAGAGGUUAUGAGUUCAAUCCCUCAUUAGGGAA
rnacentral:tRNA from 1 species